GAUUCGAAUUUAGGAUUGAGGUCAAUCUCGAUGCCAUGACACAUCUAAGAAUUUGGAAGCCCAUUUUGAAGAAUGCUAGCACUCUAGCAGCGACGUUCUCCAUGGAAGUCACACAAGAUCUAUGUUUAUUUGUACUCCCUCAAAUAGCAGCAUAAUUAGGUGGGAUAAUAAAUUUGUGCUGUCCUACUAGGCAAGAAGCAAAGGCAACCAUGAGAUUUCAAAGGGGAGGAGUACAUAAAUUUGAUUUUGGAAGAUGUUGGAAAAGUCAAUAUCGA